rnacentral:rRNA from 1 species
GACGAACGCUGGCGGCGUGCUUAACACAUGCAAGUCGAACGGAAAGGCCCUUCGGGGUACUCGAGUGGCGAACGGGUGAGUAACACGUGGGUGAUCUGCCCUGCACUUUGGGAUAAGCCUGGGAAACUGGGUCUAAUACCGAAUAGGACCACGCGCUUCAUGGUGUGUGGUGGAAAGCUUUUGCGGUGUGGGAUGGGCCCGCGGCCUAUCAGCUUGUUGGUGGGGUAAUGGCCUACCAAGGCGACGACGGGUAGCCGGCCUGAGAGGGUGACCGGCCACACUGGGACUGAGAUAUGGCCCAGACUCCUACGGGAGGCAGCAGUGGGGAAUAUUGCACAAUGGGCGCAAGCCUGAUGCAGCGACGCCGCGUGAGGGAUGACGGCCUUCGGGUUGUAAACCUCUUUCACCAGGGACGAAGCGUAAGUGACGGUACCUGGAGAAGAAGCACCGGCCAACUACGUG